GAUGAAGAACGUAGCGAAAUGCGAUAAGUAAUGUGAAUUGCAGAAUUCAGUGAAUCAUCGAAUCUUUGAACGCAUCUUGCGCUCCUUGGUAUUCUGAGGAGCAUGCCUGUUUGAGUGUCAUUGUACUCUCACUCUCCCGAUACUUUUGGAUCGGGAGUGGUGGACUUGGGUGCUGCUGCUUAACUGUGGCUCGCCUUAAAUGAAGUAGUGCAACUCUCGGUUGGACAUAGUACGGCGUGAUAAGUGUCUUCGCCGGCGCCUCAUUCGAGGGUGGCCGAUCGGGAGCUCUGUGCUUCAAACUGUCUUCGGACAACAUCUGACAACUUGACCUCAAAUCGAGUAGGACUACCCGCUGAACUUAAGCAUAUCAAUAAGCGGAGGA
rnacentral:misc_RNA from 1 species